CUUAUUAUUAUUAUUAUUAUUAUUUAUUAAUUAUUUCUUACUUAUGCCCAAGUUUACUUGUAACCCAAGUAAUACCAUAAAUAGUAUUUAAUAAGGAAUAGAUUUCGUCCGUACAUUGGUUACUUGAUGGACGUACCAGAUUAAAUCAUAACCUCUAUAAAUUGGUUCUCCCUCCACUCAUUAGGGUUAAUCGCACAUUCUCUACAAUAAUUUCAUCGUUAACGGUUGUGAUAACAUAAAGUUAGGGCAAGGAGGUAGAAAUCAAUUUAUGACUAACGCUUUCACUUUUCUAUGUGAUGAUGUCUUCCUCAUCAGAUAAUGGUGAAACAGUUACGAGGAAGAAGGCAGAGGUUUCCUAAGUUUAUGGAAGAUCAGUCAUAUAUAUUUAUUUUAUUAUUUGUAAUUAUUUUUUAGUUUUUUAAACAAAGUGGGUCACUUAGUUGGUUAGAUAAAGUAGGACAUGUUUCAUAGUUGGUCAGUCACGUUCUCCAUUAUCUUUACGCAGUUUGUUGUUCACCGAUUUUGUGAGUUGUAUAUAUAUGCAUCUGUACAGUGAUGUAAAACACAUAGAAAAGAGAAUUUUCUCUCAACUAAUUUCUUGCUAUUCUUUCAUGGUACUAGAGCAUGUUUAGAAUUUGCCUAUUAUCCUUGUUUUGUUUUCUCUUUUCUUCAUCUUCUCUGCAAUGACACCUACGUCUUCUACUUUUGAUCCAAUUAUUGAAAGCACUCCAGCCACCUUUUCUGCUAGAAAUAAUAUCAUCGAUUCAUCCCUACUAUAUGCACCCCUGGAUGAAUCUCCUUUCUACAGUGUUUGAUGGGAAAAGCUAUGAUGGAUGGAGAAGGGCAGUAAUAAUUGUGGUCUCUGCCAAAAACAAACUUGGCUGCCAAAAAUAAAUUUGGCUUCACUAAUGGUUCACUGCCGAUUCCAAUUGCCGAUUUGGCUCUUCAAAAGGCAUGAUCACGCUGCAAUAACAUGGUUCUUUCGUGGCUUCUCAAAUCUUUAUUUAAAGAGAUAGCUGAAUCAGUGCUUUACUCCCAAAUUGCCAAAGAACUUUGGAGCGACUUAGAAGAUAGAUUUGGUCAGACGAAUGGUGCAAAAUUGUUCUAGUUACAAAAGGAACUAAGUGUUGUGGUGCAAGGUAACUCUAGUAUAUCAAACUAUUUCACUAAACUGAAGAGUUUAUGGGAUGAACUAGUUGCAUUAAACGCUUUUUCUAUUUGUGUUUGUGUGUGCGAUUGUGGUGUUAAGGCAAAACUUCUGAAAGCCCAUCAAGAUGAAAUGUUGUUACAAUUCCUGAUGGGUCUGAAUGAGUCUUUUAUUGGUAUAAGGAGCAAUAUUUUGUUGUCAUCCCCUUUACCCUCUAUUGGACAGGCUUAUUCCUUGGUUAUUCAAGAUGAAAAGCAACGAGAAUUCAAUACUUCUCCUGUCUAUCCAUGGAAUUCAGCAUCUUUUAUCGCAACAGAUCAAUCAGGAGGAAAUAGAAACUAUCCCGGUUUCAAACCACCAAAGGGAUCUGUUGAAUCAAAGAAGAAUACAAGCACAUAUGCCUAUUGCAUAAAGCCAGGUCAUAGCACUGACAAAUGCUAGAGGAUUCAUGGAUUUCCUCCAGAUUUCAAGUUCACAAAGCAAAGGAAAUUCCAACCUCUAACUAACAAUGUCUACCACGCUGCGGAUGAGGCUGAUCAAAGGGGUAAUGGGUUCUCAAAUGAAAAAAUUCUAACUCAGGAGAACAUAGGAGAACUUUUGCAAUUACUUCAACAAUUCAAACGGACAACAAAGUGAUAACAAUGCUGAAGCUACCACGAGUGCCAAUUGUGCUGGGCCCUUCAAUGAAGUAGCCACUGGAAAUUGGUGAAGAAAAAAAAUGGACUCUACAUUCUAAAAUUGAAGUCUAAAGUUGCAGCUUUUAGGGAUAGUUUUAUUUCUAGUCAAGUUUUAAUUUCAAGAAAGCACUGUGUUGUUGCCCAUCCUGUUCCUAUUUUAAAUUCUAGUUUCAGUGUUCCUAUUUCAAAUGUAGAAGAGAAGCUAUGGCAUUGUAGAC